AUAACUUUGGUCUUUAAAUUAAUGUGUAUGAAUCAAAUAUGCGUGAACUGUCACCUCUAUAUUUAGUGGACCAAGCCCUGCUUGUUUGUAUGGAAAAUUAUGUUUGAAACUAAAAAAAGCCCCCCCCCCCCUCCAACUCUUGUAAUACCCUCUCGUUUCCAGUCUACCGAAGCCCGGGUGUUUUUUGCCAUUAUUACUGAAAGCUUUGAAGACCUUUCCUUUGGUGUGCGUGUUGAAACUGGAACCUUUUGAUGCUUAAAAGACG
rnacentral:lncRNA from 1 species